CACCCACUAUUUGACAAUAAUUCUUUCAUUGGGUAUUAUUACCUUAUUGUUUCAAACGUGCACAUCAUACACAGAGUUUGGUUUGGCAUGUUUCUCACUUGAAUCUUUGUUUUUCUUUUGUUCUGUUAACGUGUGCAUUCAACUAGGAAUUGCUUGAGAAGCGUACACCUUUACAAUCUCAAAUCUACGUAUGAAGCCGGUCUCGCUAAGAUAUUAGCUUGUUCAAAUAUCACUGAUUUGAAAAUUGUUGGACAGUAAGUUUCAUCCUGCUAAUUCCUUUUGCAACAUUCUCUCAAGUUUUAUAGUCUUUCAUGUUUCGUGUAACAGGUUCCUCUCUAAUGAGAUAUUCAGCUCGUUCACAGCGAAAUCAUGUCGCAGGGUAGAGCACCUGUUCUUAGAGGCCCGUGGUAUCCAAUGUAAAACUUUUCAACUCUUAAGCUUUCUCUUCUUUUACUCUAGGUUUGUUUACUCAAGCUUUACUUUAUUUUGCAACAGUUGGAUCAAUAAUAGUUUCAGGCUUAUUAGACCUUGUGACCACCAUCCCAAACUUAACCUCUCUAACGCUCAUAGGUUUUGGAUUAGAUGAUGCAACAGCCCAUUCUUAUCGAGGGUUCUCAUAAACUGAAAUACAUGAAUCUGUCUAGAACAUACUUAAUCAAGGGCCGCUUUUUGAGGGACUUGGGACAGAGCAUCAAAGACAGUCCACUCGAGACUCUAGUAUUGCGAGAUUGCACUUCUCUAAAGGAGAAAGAAGUUUUGCAGUUUCUGAACUCGCUACUCACAGGAAAAUUGAGAUUCAUACGACACAUUGUAAGUUUGCUAUAAGAAUAUUGGCAAAUAUCUGGCAGAUGACAAGUUUGUUUACUCAUAAUCGCCUGUCUUCUCCUGCAACAGGACGUUUCAUAUAUCCAUGGCUUAGUUUGUGAGGGUGGCAAAAAAUCUGACAAACCAAAGUAACUUUGAUAUUUAUUUGUAUACUUUUCAUUUUUAUAUAUAUGCCAUUACAAUUGUUGUUUGUGUGUGUUUUUUUUUAAUAGCUUUCCUCUGGAGAAGCUGAAAGAUGAAAGACCAAAUGUCAAGGUUCCUUUGGUUUGGUUAUAUAAAUGAAACAGAAGUAAUUGAACUAACAAAUGAAUGUGUAUUUGUUAAAUUCAGCUCAGAAAGACUUUUGCGCGGCAUUUCUUAUGCCAGCAGUGAUGAUGAGGAUGCAUGGAUUGUGAACGAUGAUGAGAUGGAAGACUUUAUUGUGGAUCAAGAAGAUUUUCUUUGAUCACUAGAUUAAGAUGUUGUUAAUUAGUAGAUAAUUAACCUACAAUGGUUAAUUGUAUAUUUAAUAGCAUCGAACUUUAGACUACUGAGUGAGUAAGUGGCAGGAAAACAAUGAUAUAUAUAUAGGCUUUUCUAUGUGGGAGGAAAACAAUGACUUCCUUAAUUUAAACCCGAACGCAGCGAACGUUUGAAAUCAACUUUAAACGCAGCGAGCGUUUGAAAUCAACUUUAAACGUAGCGAGCGUUUUGUAAGUGUGCCACAAUAAACUGAGCCCUCAGUCCCUAUCACUCUCUCUCCACCUUUAGUAGUAGCGUUCUCGCUAGUCUCAGUCCCCAUGGAAGCUCCAUACCCUAACAAGAGACAUCGCCGAGACCUUCCUUGUGUACCUUCUUCUCCCUCAGGCCCAAGUUCCCUUCCUAGUGUUCCCGAUUUCAACAAGAGCCAUGUCCAUCUGAUCAUUUCCUCCCUCCUCUUCUUACCGGACUUGCCUUCGCUAUCUAUUAGCCACUCGUUCGAUCGAGCGAUUGAGAAACUAUUGGAAUCUUCUUCCGACGAUGAUCGUAUCAAAGAGCGUGGAUUCCGACUCAAAGAGCGUGGAUUCCGACUCGCCUCGCUUCGCUUCUUCAUGAGUCUACGCAAAGGUGCGCUCAGAAACACGCCGCUGAGCACAAUUCCAGUUCAUGGAAACUCCCUCCUGAACUCACCAUCAAGGUAACGAAAUCUCGCCACUUCAUGUGCAUCUGAAGCUAGAGACCUUGUUUUUAGGGUUUUGUUACUGUCUUCUCUUUAGGGAUUGUUUGCGGAUUGUGAGUGAUUCUCCAUUAAUGUACGUAGAGCAACUGAGGAUUAUUAGGUCAUGCAUGUGAAUGAUUUUCUGUAGAUGUUAGCUAUUUAGGAUUCUUAGGUUAUGCAUUUUAAUGAUGUUCCAUUGAUGUAAGCAACUUAAGAUUCUUAGGUUAUGCAUUUUAAUGAUUUCCUACUGAUGUAAGCAAUGGAAUAUGCUUUUGAAUGAUUUUCCAUUGAUUUUUUUCGGUAUAUUGAUUCUGAGGAAACGUUCUUUUUUGUAAUGGAUUAUUCAGGGUCUUUUCGAUGCUUGAUGCAAAGUCUCUGAUGCGAGCUUCAGCUUGUUGCAUCAUGUUUAAAAAAUGUGCCAUGGACCCUUUAUGUUACUCUCACAUAGACUUGACAGCCGGAAAUGCUGGAACUGGAAUCGUGCGUCGUAUGAUCCUUAAUGCUGGAAAGGAACUCAGGUGAGAUGUUUUGUCUUCAAUCUUCUUAGCGCCCCUUCUUUCUUAUUAAAGCGUCUCCUUUUUCUAUUUGUUAUAACUUGGUGUAUCUAAUCAUCUCUUUUGGUUUUGUUGUUGCAUGCAGAUCCCUUAAAGUUGGUUGCCCCGAUGAAUCUACAAAAUCUUUGCUUUCAGGAUCUUGUCUUUCCCCAC